UUUGCAAAGAGACGCCAGCUGGAGCAGACUUGCUUUUGGAGGGCUGCUCCACAGCCAGAGGGCCAGCCUGGGCGUCGGAGGGAGGGUUCGAGGUCCUUAGCUGCCUCAGGAUGGAAGUUGGGGGUUGGAUGUGGGCACAGUGGAUCAGAACUUUUCUGCAAAGUCCCGACUCCGGCCCGUCAGAAGAUUCCUGAAGCCAGUCGAACGGAGAGGACUUUGAAGAUUCCUAGGACCUGGAAGAAGGUGGAGCCAUGAGAUGGAAGGAGCCUGGGGCCCUGAGCUGGAGCAGAGCCUUUCCCAUCGCCGAUGCACAAUGGAGGGGAAAGAUUCCUGACAGACACAAAGGCAUUUUUGCCCUAAGCACUUUCCAAGGGGAAUCCUUCUGAGGGGCCACGGUCGGCGUAUCCUCCUUUGUCACCCGCUGUCUGAGCGCCCAUCACAUGGCACCAUCACCAGGGAGAAGCAGUGAGACGGAACUUGCGCUCCUGGAGCUUCCAGGUGCUGCCCUGACCAGCUUGCUCCUCCUCUGUCUGAUCGCCCUUCGCCGAUAGCUUUGCCUGGCCAAUCCCUACUGCUCUGUACAACCGAUGCCAACUCUUCUGUGAAGCAACCCUCAGCCCCGAUCCAGAUGGCAGAAGUCCCUGCUCCGGGGUCACCAGAUCUCCUUGCAGGUAAGUUGGAGCCACCCCCUUGUGUUCUCCCCGGGGGAAUGGCCAUGAUGCCUGCCACGGCCAGUCGUGCUCACCGCGCCCCUGAUUUCGGGGCUUAUUUGUUAACAUCUGUUCACCUAUCACAGCCCACCCUCUCCUGACUGACACCGGGACGCACCCCUUCCCCUGGGAUCUUGGCCACUGUUACAGCUCACAGCACACACCUUACAUGUCUUCUCCACUGGACUGUCAGCUCCUCUCUGGCUCGGAAUUAGUUUUCAUUCCCUCCCUUGAACCUGCUCAUUCCACACUGCUUGACAUACAGUUGGCACUUAGAAAACAUCUUUUUUUUUUUAAUGUGAAAUAUUGGUUUAAUUUGCAGCCCCCAUACAGAAGAGACGUAAACCGAAGAGAAAAUAAAACUAGACAGCACACGGGGAAGCCAACACUUACAAAAAGGUAAGGGUCCCCAGAGAGUCCAUUCCAGUGAGUAUCUUUUGAAUAAAUGAAAAAUUUCAGGCCCCAUGUGACAGUACGCCCGACGGCCACCUUCGGUUUAGGGGCUGCAACGUCCCCGCCAUGAGCUCAGGAAGCAGCUGACGGAAAGGAUGCGCCCCGGGUGACUGAACCCACGUGACACCGCACUGCCCCUUCCUCCAACUGCGCCCCUGCAAUUUCC